rnacentral:rRNA from 1 species
AUGGCCGCUCAGGUCGCACGACGCUGUUUUACUGAAGCCUCCCGUCGCACGACGCGGACACCGCAUCCGACGCGGAGCGACUUUCUCGAUGGCCUCGCCUGCCGAGGGAAUUGUGGCGGCUUCCGGCCGGCGACGCCUGAAGCGCGCGCGCCGCGGCGGCUCGUCCCUCAGGCGUCGGUGACUUGCUCCAUGCGUGUCAGCAAAGCAAGGCAACGCUGGUGGCGCAACCACCUGGAGCGGUGGCAGCCCGAAACGGCGGCCAUGGCGCGGCCUUCCCGGCCUCUUCCCCUGAGGGAGACCCAGCGCGCGGCGGCGCACAGUGCGGCCGUCUCCGGGCGGCGACGAUUAUCUGGGACGAGUCCCAAUCGUAACUGCAGAAGAGAACCUUAUCUCUUCGGCUGCUUUGACUGCAGCCCUUGCAGUUUCUCAUAA